UCCUACUUUAAGUUAGUUUCGACCUGACAUUUGGUGUUUACCAGUAGGGG
rnacentral:tRNA from 1 species